GAACCGGCACCAGGGAGAAUCUGCGCCUGAACUGCCGGUCGGACGUGCGUAUACUGUUGAACUGCUAGCGGUCGGUAAAGUGUUAAACUAGAUUAAAUGUAUUGUUAUAGAUAUUAACUGUUACAACAUGACCAGUUAACUGCGUUCGACGUCAAUUCAAAACAUUAUUCCAGUGUGGUUGACGUGUAUAUUCGUCAUUGCUUGAUUUUACCUGCGCAUCCCGUAAGGAAUUUUGAAACUAAACCCCACAGCUAACAAGUUAAUUAAUCUUCGCCAAAAGAACAUGUAUCGUAACUAGAUAACGGAAAUUGAAACUGCGAACAUGCGCUUAACAAAUGAAACUGAAAAUCUUUUCUCGAAACUGCAACCAGUUAACCCACGCCAUAUGAACUCGCAACUAAAAAUACAACAAAUUGCAGCACGAUGUUAUAUCACUUGAACGUGUCACCAUGGCUGGCUGCUGGAAUCCGCGCAAGAAUCAUAAAUCACUGGGCGAGGUCGGCAAAAAGGUCGGUUUUUCAGGCAGAUAGCGAAAAAGCGCGUUUUUAUUGCUCGACGUCGCGAAGAAAUAACGAAGCUUCCACGUCAAAAUACCGGCGGAUAACUCGGCGUCACGUAAAAAUCGACGUGGUCCUCUUUCAAUCCCGCAACCAGCGCUUCACGGAACAUUAAAUCGUGGAACAGCCGUGGUUUCUUGAUCGAAAAAUUUUGAUAGUGGUUUCUGGCAGCCAGCGUUGCAACAAUUUUCGCAUGUCUUCCUUAUUAUUUUUUCAUGCAACAUUAUCCUUCUAUCUUCGUUUGCUCUUUCGAAAGAAGCACUGUUAAAUAAGAUAGCAUGUUCGUGUCAGUGAAGUCAAUGAAAGUUGGAAAACAGAAUUGCUUGCGAUUAUGUGGCACUCCAACUCGAAAUUGAAAUUUUAGUUAAUAUAGUUUAUGGAGUAUGAUAUGAUAUAGCUUAGGGAAGCAUAUGAAGAGAAUAACAGACAUAUUUCAAGAAAAUUAAGAAGCAGAGAAUUUUGGGAAAGCGACCGAUGUUACGUUCAUUUAAUGAAAGAACGGCAAAGAAUAUGUGGCACUUGGCAACAAUGUAUAUCGCCGAAGCGACGUGCCUAAUGAGCCAUCAAUAUCAUAACGGUCCUUCCUUCGAAUAUUCGAGAAAAAAGGCGUGCGUGGCAACGUUCGCGGACGCCAAACAAACGCCUGGAUAGUGGGGAUAUUGAGGGGCGACGAAAAGAAAAGAAUCGAAUCUGAUCGACAGUUAGGUUCGAACUAGGAAGCGAUAAAGUCGUGCUGUAACCGGGCAGCGAGAUUGACUAGCGAAACCGAGAGCGAUACGCGACGCGAUCAAAAGAAUACACUUGUUAAUAAAUAUAUUGUUGACCUAAACUCCGAAUAAUUAUUUAAUCACCCGAUAUCACUUCAAAUACAAUUCGAUGAGUAGAAACGCAAUUAUUAACAAUAUCCUAAACAGAUGUUUAUACUAUACACUACUUUGUACCGUACAGUGAAAUAUCAGCAGAAAUAUGUUUUUACAUUUGGUAAUUUCAAUGGAAAAUCAGUUACCGUGUUCGACGAACUUGGACAUCUCAUAAAAGACAGUACGGUUUGUGAUACAAUGAACUAAAAAAUUCUCUGUUGCUUUUCGGACUCCCAAGGGAAACCAAAUACCUACAUAAUGGAUUAGGGUUACAUAUCAUGUUAGGGGGCAUCGAGUGCAUCCACCAGCCACGACGCAAUCGACAAAUGCGCAUCGAAUUUGAUGACAUGGGAAUAUGGUCGACAUCGACCAGACUCUCGCCCUUUCUUCUGCGUAACGGCAAAAACAGAGCAAUUGGAAAAUGAACGUGCUGAAAGCAAAACACGAGUGACACCAUACGCAAGAAAGCCACGUAACAAACGCAAUGAAGCAAUUCCCUAUGAAACCAUAUGCUUAUCACAAACAGUAACAAGUUGUUCCCGUUGAAGAGGAGGACCCUAACACAAGCGAUAACACCACGGGCUGGCUCUUUUGCAACAGUGGAAAUCCAGCGAGGCAAAUCUAGUUUCCUGUUACUGUAAAAGGAUAUUGGUUGCGUGUAUAGAUAUACACGCAUACACAUAUCACAGCUUUAUACAAUAAUGGAACGCGUUCGUUGGAUAGCAUGUGCAUACGGCGAAUAGUGCUAGCCUUCGAAUCUUGUGUUAAACUACAAUAAUUUUCUCAACAGGUUAUUCGGUAUUGCUCCCUUCCCCAAAUCGCGUUACGCUUAAUACUACCCACACAGUCUCCCCCACUGGUCAUUCUUCGUUCAUCCCUUAAUGCCAUUACGUGGAUUAAAAACGACGAAACGUAUUAGUUGCGAAACGGCGAUGGGAACAGCUGAUGGGAAUUAUUUCGCGUGCACGCAUGCAGCAUUAAGAGGAAUCGUAGUAUGGAAACUGACGAUGAACGUUCCUAAACGAGAAAAUUUAAAUUUUGAGUAAUUCCUUUCGAAUUUACAGCCGGUCGAUUACUUUAACGAAAGAAAUAUUUGGCGUGUAGACGGCUAGCACGGUUUACAUUUUAUUUAUGUACAUCCGUGACCUUGAGACUGCUAUUACGCAGACAUAUUCUAAGGAGCGGCGCAUAUUAUUGAGUAUACAUUAUGUUUUGGGUUGCAAGGUCAGGGAACAAAGGAACUAAUAAACAGAUUUCUAUUUAUGCUCCCUGUAGCCUCCAGCCAAAACUAUAAGGUUAACUUUUUUGGUAAUGUCCUUUUGCUAUAAAUAUAUGAACGUGCUUCCUAGUAUUCAAGUGUGUAGUAACAUUAAGAGAGUAAGGAUAUCAAUCAGCAUAAACUUAUACAUUAUACUUAUACCUUUAAUUAUUUCAAUAUACUUUUCUAUUACAAAUUCAUCCACUCGUUCUUCAAUCAGUUAACCUCAAACUUAACAUUGGGCAACUAAGUGAUUGCGGAUUUUGUCAUUACCACCUAAUGACAAAAUCCGCAAUCACUUAGUUGCCAACCGAAUAUUUUCAAGGAAGCCAUUUCCUAAAUUGAAGUGUGAACGAAGAAAGUAACAGUAACGUAUAUGAUAAGUAAAAUG